rnacentral:rRNA from 1 species
GAUAAACGCUGGCGGCGUGCCUAACACAUGCAAGUCGAACGAUCCCGCAAGGGAGAGUGGCGGAAGGGUGAGUAACACGUGGGAAUCUACCUCCUCGCAGGGAACAACCUCUCGAAAGAGAGGCUAAUACCCAAAAGGGUCAGAAAUGAUCAGAGUCGAAAGGCGUGAGGAGAGGAGCCCGCGGCCCAUCAGCUAGUUGGUGAGGUAAUGGCUUACCAAGGCUACGACGGGUAGGGGAUCUGAGAGGAUGUCCCCCACACUGGAACUGAAACACGGUCCAGACGCCUACGGGAGGCAGCAGUGAGGAAUAUUGGACAAUGGGCGAAAGCCCGAUCCAGCAACGCCGCGUGGAGGAUGAAGGCCUUCGGGUCGUAAACUUCGUUUAGAGGGAGACGAGAAGGACGGUAUCCCUAGAAUAAGCGACGGCAAACUACGUGCCAGCAGCCGCGGUAAU